GCGGUCGUGGUGGAAUGGUAGACACGCAAGCUUGAGGUGCUUGUGGCGGAAACGCUGUGCUGGUUCAAGUCCAGUCGGCCGCA
rnacentral:tRNA from 1 species